GUUACUCUCCCUACCGUGAUCGACACAAGAAAAAUCGCUGUCCAGUAGGGAAUAUUAUCAUGGACACGAGGAUCAAGACUGAGAAGCUGCAUGCGUACUACCGUAUUCCCCGUGAUUGAUCGGCGCCUGGUCGUACGAUAUAAACCGAAAGCCCAUCAUAACAACAGCAACAGGGCAAAAAAGGAAAAGAUUGCUAUUCCGAAUUCACCACGUUACCAUUCCUUAUUACGACGAGCUAACAGAAUGCGAACCUGAAGAUAUACGUUCCAGUACAGUUUCACACAAAGUUAUAGGUCACUGGUGCAUAUGUAUGAUCUGCAAAACAGCCUCCACCUGUCCCAGCUCGGUAACCGUCUACUCCCGCCUCUAGUCAAACGAUCCAACAGGUGCAAUCAUUGCUAAAAAGGAUCGUAUGAUCCAACUGUUACAUCUCUUCUCCUCAUUCUCACCGGCCAACUUCCAGCUUCUGCGGUCUUCUGAUCUUUGCAGCAUCAGUGGCAUCAAACGUUUGGUAUUUCCAUUUGCGCACAUGUCACAUCAUCAACCAGGAUUAAAAUUUAUACAGACAGUAUUAAGUGGAAAAGAUGGGAGAGUGCCGGCUAUUGCAGGCUUCAUUGUUGUUGGACAGGACGGGACUACGUAGAAGUCUAGUAUAACAACAACCCCCUGCCCUUGGCCCUCACCAACCACAGUCCAGACUACAGAGUGGAGAGCAGGAAGUAGGACUUACGGG
rnacentral:sRNA from 1 species